CCUUCCACCCCACCCGCCACCCACACUCCGCUCCGCAGCCGGGCCCCGAGCGAGCUCCGCGCGCCCGGGCGGGAGCCGAGGGCUCCCCGGGUUCAAAGGGCCGCAGCCCCGAGGGAAUGCCCUCCUCGCUGUGCCCCGAGGGGCAGAAGCGGACCGCAGGGCGGUGGGACCGGCCCGGGCCACGAUGGUGUUCAGUGACAAGACCCAAACUAUUUGCAAAACUCCAGGACAUGCGUCUUUCUGCGGACAAAAACAGACAUUAUCAAAAGCCUGGAAGGAAUCUUUGACUUUCUCCCAUUUGAACAAACAACAGCUUCAAAGUGGUCGACAGUGUACUAAGCAGAGAUACGAGAAUAUCCCCAGAAAGGAAAAUACACCACGACCAAGUUGUUUCCUGUAUGUGAAUGCUGAGAUUUAAGGAAAUAUCGUGGCUCCCCUUUAACUCACAAAUAAAUUCUUUUUUUUUUUUU